ensembl:lncRNA
GCCACUUCCAGCCUGGCCUUGGAUGCCCCAUCCCUGGAUGCAUUCACAACCUACUUGGGCAACCUGUUCCAGUGCGUCACCACCCUCUGGGUGAAAAACUUCCUCCUAAUAUCUAACCUAAACCACCCCUGUCUCAGUUUAAGACUAUUCCUCCUUAUCCUACCACUUUCCACCCUCACAAACAGCCGUUCCCCUUCCUGUUUAUACGCUUCCUUCAAGUACUGGAAGGCCACAAUGAGGUCCCCCUGGAGCCUUCUCUUCUCCAAGCUAAACAAGCCCAGUUCCCUCAACCUUUCCUCACAGGAGAGGUGCUCCUGCCCUCUGAUCAUCUUAGUGGCCCUCCUCUGGAUGCGCUCCAAGAGCUCCAUGUCCUUCCUGUACUGGGAGCACCAGGUCUGGACGCAGUACUUCAGAUGGGGCCUCUCAAGAGCUGAGUAGAGGGGCACAAUCACCUCUCCCUGCUGGCCACUGCCUUUUUUUUUUUUUUUUUUUUUUUUUUUUUUUUAAAUGCAGCCCAGCACACAGUUGGCCUUCCAGGCUGCAGGUGUACACUGCUGGUUCAUGUCCAGCUUCUCAUCCACCAGGACCCCCAGGUCCUUCUCCGCAGGGCUGCUCUCAAGGAGAUCUUCCCCCCUGUUUAUAGAAGUACCUGGGAUUGCCCCGACCCAAGUGCAGCACCCUGCACUUGGCCUUAUUGAACCUCAUUAGGUUUUCGUGGGACCACUUCUCCAGCCUGUCCAGGUCCCUCGGGAUGGCUUCCCUUCCUUCCAAUGUAUCGACUGCACCGCUCAGCUUGGUGGACAGAAACCACUCCCCACACCCUUACCUAGAGGCUCAUGGUCCUGGCAGACAUGGGAAGCCUGACCACCCGUGAAGACUGAGGCAAAGCACUCAUUAAGUACCUCAGCUUUUUCUAUGUCUGAGGAAGCCAGCUCCCCAUUACCUUUCAUCGGGGGGAGAACACUCUCCUUGGCCUGUCUUCUCCUGCCUAUGUACCUGUAGAACCCCUUCUUGUUGUCUGUCGCAUCCCGCACCAAGUUCAGCUCCAUCUGCGCCUUGGCUUUCCUAAUCCUAUCUCUACACACACGGACAACAGCCCUGUAUUCCUCCCUGAAUACACAACCCUGCUUCCACUUUCUGUACAUUUCCCUCUUUUCUCUCAAUUUAAGCUGCAGGUCCUUGCACAGCCACGACAGUCGCCUGCCUCCCCUGCUCAACGACUUCUGCUGGGGUAUGGAGAGCCCUUGAGCUCUCGGAAGGGUGUCCUUAAAGAGCUGCCAGCUCUGGUCUGUGCCCAUGCCCUUAAGGACAGUUUCCCAGGGGAUCCCACUCAGCAGUUCCUUGAGCAGACGGAAGUUCGCUUUCCUAAAGCACAGCGUUGUGACUGUGCUUUUUGCCAGGCCCACAUUCUUCAAGCUCACAAACUCCACCAAGGCAUGGUCACUGCAGCCCAGGUUGCCUGCAAUCUAAACCUCUCCAUCUAUUACCUGGACCAGAAAGUUGUCCUCAACAGACUCCAGGAAUCUCUUGGAUUGUCUGCCACCCACCGUGGCACUAUCCCAGCAGAUAUCCGGGUGGUUGAAAUCCUCCAUCAGGAGGAGAGCCCGCAAGCAUGACACCUCCUGCCGCUGAAGCAAGAAGGCCUCGUCCACAGCCUCUUCCUGAUCAGGUGGCCUGUAACAGACCGCAGCCGCUAGAUGCCCUUUGCUGGACUGAUCCGCAGUUUUUACCCACAAGCUCUCAACCUGAUCAUGGCUGUUCCUCAGACGCAGCUCUUCACAAUCUGUCCACUUCCUAACAUAAGAGGGCAACUCCACCACUCUCCUAACCUGUCUAUCCCUUCUGAAAAGCCUGUAGUCCUCAAUCAGGGUAUUCCAAUCAUGCGAUUCAUCCCACCCUGUUUCCAUGAUAGCAAUUAGGUCAUACUUUCCCAAUUGCACCACAGUUUCUAGCUCCUCCUGUUUAUUUC